GAUAAAGUAUAUUGUAUAAUGUUGAGCUGUAGCAAAGAGGUUUGCUAAACAAAAAGUGAAGUGACGUCGGCCAAGAAAGCAGAAGGAUAUAGCCUCAGCAGUAGCAACAAGAAAGAAGGCAGCUUUUGACUGUAGUGUACAGUAUGUGGAGCCAUACAACUGCCAGUUAAAUGACCUACAGAGAAGAAUCACAAGUGUCCAGGUUUAUAGAGCUGAAUGAUGGUUCAGAAAUGCCACUGUUGGGUCUGGGGACAUGGAAGCCCUCCGAUCUUCCCCAUACCUCACUUCAGGGUGCAGUAGAAGCUGCCAUUGCUGCUGGGUAUCGCCACAUUGACACUGCCUUCUGUUAUGGCAAUGACGUGGAGAUUGGCAAGGCUGUCCGCUCAAAGAUACAGCAGGGCAUCAUCAGACGCCAAGACAUGUUUAUUGUCAGUAAGUUGUGGUGUACCCAUUAUAAACCAGAAGACAUCCCACUGUGCCUCAAUAAAUCCUUGACAGACCUCCAGCUGGAUUACCUGGAUCUCUACCUCAUGCAUAUCCCUUUUGGACUCAAGAAAAUGGGUGAGGAACAUUUCCAAAGGAAGGAUGGGCACAUUGAAACUUCAGAAAUUGACUGUAGAGAUGUAUGGCGGGGAAUGGAAGCACUGCAAGCUUCAGGUAAAGUAAGGAGCAUCGGUGUAUCCAACUUCAAUAUUAUGCAGUUGAAGAGACUUCUUCCUUUUUGCAAAGUACCUCCUGUAGUCAAUCAGGUGGAGUUACAUCCACACCUGACACAGCCUGAGCUGAUUGAGUUCUGUAAAUCCAGGAAAAUUGCCAUGACAGCUCACAACCCAUUUGGCUCACCUGCAAGAUCACCACCAUUAAAAGACAACGAUCCACAUCAACUCCGAGAUGACCUAUUAAUUGCAGAUAUAGCAAGGAAAUACAAACGCAGCCCUGCACAGGUAUUGCUGAGGUACCAUGUACAGCAAGGUAUUGCAGUCAUCCCGAAUAGUCACAAGUCCCACCAUAUUCUUGAAAACACAAAGCGCACAGUGUUUCCUGUGUUACUAUGGAGACGACUUUCAGUUUUAAGGAACUUGUCGCCCAACACUUACCCCUCUCAGCUCCAGAGGACAGCUCAAAUGAUGAACUUUUUAAACAGUACAUGCAUGUGUAACAUUUACUCAUUAUUCCGUUCAUGACAAACCUUUUUGAACUGUCCAUUUGAAUUGGAGUCGUGCAUUUUGGGUCCUGUCCUUUGUUCCGUUCCUGACAGAACAAACUGGCCAUAACAUGGACCCAGCAGACUCAGACCCGGUGGGCAAAGCUCUUCAAGCGCAGGGUCAACGCAUCUCGAAGAGGAUGAGCAGUUUGCUGCACUCCACCUUCAUCUAAAGGGACUGUCAGAGCAUCAGGACACUAUGAUGAGACAGGUGGCCUCACAGUUUGAAGUUCUAAUGAAUAUGGUUCAUAAGAAGGAACCAGCUGGCACAGCACCCGAUGCCGCCACUGUACCAUCGUUUCCAAUCAGUCACCAUGCCGCCACCUGCCACCUCCGCUGCUGUCUGACCACGGCUCUCUCGACCGGAGAGGUUCUCUGGAGAUUCUGGGAAUAUUAAGCUGUUCAUCACUCAGUACGAACUCCACUUUGAGCUGCAGGCAGCCUCCUUCCCCACCGAGCGGGAAAAGAUCGUUUUUGUCAUUUCCCACCUGACUGGCCAUGCGGAGGCGUGGGCUACUGCUGAAUGGAGCCACAAUUCCGCCGCGUGUCAUUCGUGGGCUUCUUUUGUAAAGACUAUGGAGCAAGUUUUUCAGUAUUCCACACCAGAUCGUGAGGCAGCUUGCUCCCUUGUCACCUUACAAUAAGGCAAGCGCAGGGUGUCAGAUUACGCGAUUGAGUUUUGCAUUCUAGCAGCUGAGAGUCAGUGGAAUAACAGGGCACUACACGAUGCAUUCUUUCAAGGACUAUCCCCCGCCGUCAAAGAUCAUUUGGUCCCACUCGACCUGCCGACCGACUUGGGGACAAUCAUCGCUCUCGCCAUAAAGAUCGACAAAAGGCUUUUGGAUAGCUGGAUAGAGAUCAGCGGAACCAGCCAAACCGAGGCAGAUCCCCUGGUACCAGACUCAAUCCACUGGCUAGCGUCACCACGGAUGAACCCAUGCAACUGGGCAGGUUCCGUCUCUCCCCUGAGGAACAUCAACGCCGGCUGAGGGAAGGGCGGUGCUUCACUGCGGGCAGUUGGGUCAUUCCGUGAGCAACUGUCAUGUCAAAGUUGCCAGUGCCGGUAACAAGGGCACGGGAGCGGUGAGUCUAAAUAUCAUAUAAGGAAGACCUUAUGACUGUGCAGUUGACUUGCUGCCUGGAACCACACCUCAAUGGGGGAGGUUGUUCUCUCUUUCAGCGCCAGAACACAAGGCUAUGAAGGAGUAUGUCGAAGAAUCACUGGCAGGCGGGAUCAUUUGCCCAUCUUCAUCCCCUGCGGGAGCAGGAUUUUUCUUUGUGGACAAGAAGGACAAGACCCUGCGACCCUGUAUCGAUUACCAGGGUCGCAAUGAAAUAACUGUGAAAAACAGGUACCCUCUUCCUCUCAUCUCCACCGCCUUUGAGUUCCUGGAGGGAGCCAAGGUUUUCACCAAACUGGACUUAAGAAAUCCGUAUCAUCUAGUCAGGAUAAGGGAGGGGGGUGAAUGGAAAACAGCAUUCAACACACCAACGGGACAUUAUGAGUAUUUGGUGAUGCCUUUUGGACUCACUAACGCUCCAGCUGUUUUCCAAAACUUUGUCAAUGAUGUCUUGCGUGACAUGUUGAAUGUGUAUAUUUUUGUAUAUUUGGACGAUAUUUUGAUAUUCUCCCUCGAUGAGGAGACUCACAUUAUUCCGCUCUGUGUUGCAGCGGUUACUGCAGAAUUAACUAUAUGUCAAGGCUGAGAAAUGUAAGUUCCACAAGACGUCCAUUUCUUUUCUGGGUUUCGUGCUGGCUCAAGGUGAAGUCAAAAUGGGCCCUUGCAAAGUUGAUGCGGUGACUAAUUGGCCCACUCCCACGUCACGCAAGGAUGUACAAAGGUUCUUAGGGUUCACAAAUUUCUACAGAAAGCUCAUUAGAAAUUUCAGUUCAAUAGCCUCACCUUUGCAUGAUCUUACCUCGCCACACAGACCCUUUGUGUGUAACCCGGUUUGUCAGUCAGCUUUACAGAAACUAAAAUCGAGCUUUACCUCCGGUCCCGUCCUCACUUUGCCAGAUCCCAAACAGCAGUUUGUUGUGGAAGUUGAUGUGUCUGAUGCCGGAAUAGGAGCAGUGCUCUCCCAGAAAUGUCUCAAGGAUGGUAAGUCACAUCCUUGUGCUUAUCUUUCUAAAAAACUGACUCCAGCCGAGAGAAAUUAUGACAUAGGUGACCGUGAACUGCUGGCUGUCAAGGUGGCUUUGGUGGAGUGGAGGCACUGGCUAGAAGACUCCGACUCCGACUCAGACUCCGUUUUUAGUAUGGACAGAUCACCCACUACCCGCCCAUGAGUGUGGCAGGUGCCCCCACCCCAAACCAGGCAGGGAAGAGAACCACACAGCAGUCCCCACAGCCCGCAGGGGACCGCCCGGCUCCCCCACGGGAAGAGGAAGAGGCGACCGCCGCGGGAUGCAAGGAACGGAGAGAAGAGGAGGAACCAGGCCCGAGGAGCGACAGGGGGGCCUGUAAGAUUUUUGACUUCAGUCUCAGAGAAGAAGACAUGACAGCACUGAGAGGAUUGGAACGAGGGUUGAGGGGCCUCAAACUUGAGGA